rnacentral:rRNA from 1 species
CAGCCGCCNCGGUAAUACCGGCAGUCCAAGUGAUGGCCGAUAUUAUUGGGCCUAAAGCGUCCGUAGCUGGCUGGGUAAGUCCAUUGGGAAAUCGACCAGCUCAACUGGUCGGCGUCCAGUGGAAACUACACAGCUUGGGGCCGAGAGACUCAACGGGUACGUCCGGGGUAGGAGUGAAAUCCUGUAAUCCUGGACGGACCACCAAUGGGGAAACCACGUCGAGAGACCGGACCCGACAGUGAGGGACGAAAGCCAGGGUCUCGAACCGGAUUAGAUACCCGGGUAGUCCUGGCUGUAAACAAUGCUCGCUAGGUAUGUCGCAGGCCACGAGCACGCGAUGUGCCGUAGUGAAGCCGAUAAGCGAGCCGCCUGGGAAGUACGUCCGCAAGGAUGAAACUUAAAGGAAUUGGCGGGGGAGCACCACAACCGGAGGAGCCUGCGGUUUAAUUGGACUCAACGCCGGACAUCUCACCGGUCCCGACAGUAGUAAUGACAGUCAGGUUGACGACUUUACUCGACGCUACUGAGAGGAGGUGCAUGGCCGCCGUCAGCUCGUACCGUGAGGCGUCCUGUUAAGUCAGGCAACGAGCGAGACCCNCACUUCUAGUUGCCAGCAACACCCCUGCGGUGGUUGGGUACACUAGGAGGACUGCCAUUGCUAAAAUGGAGGAAGGAAUGGGCAACGGUAGGUCAGUAUGCCCCGAAUGGACCGGGCAACACGCGGGCUACAAUGGCUCUGACAGUGGGAUGCAACGCCGAGAGGCGACGCUAAUCUCCAAACGGAGUCGUAGUUCGGAUUGCGGGCUGAAACCCGCCCGCAUGAAGCUGGAUUCGGUAGUAAUCGCGUGUCAGAAGCGCGCGGUGAAUACGUCCCUGCUCCUUGCACACACCCCCCG